UCUAAGUCACACUCCCAUGUGUGUGCUUGGACCUCGCAGCAUCACCCCAUCCCUGGAAGUCCUCUGCCUGUGCAAGAAGUCCUGGAACUCUCCAGGCAUCUUUCUGCCCCAGACGUGUGGCCACCUCGACGGGAGCCGCUUCCCCACGGUCUGCCAGGGCCUGAGCAGGAGCCGCCACGGAAGUUGCUGCAUGGCGCUGACAAACUCUUCACGAGCUGAGGCAGGCAUGAAAAACUCUGGCCAUCCGUGGACUUACUCUGCCAGUUGACUUGCAAGUUAUUUAUUUGUUUGAGGAACGAGUAAACGAUGAUGCGAAGAAUAAGGAGAUAAACACAAACCACACUGGAAUCAUGCAACUGAAACUGCGCACCAAUAAUCUGUGUCUCUGGCUCCCAGCAGCACAGCUUAGGAGGCUGCUGUGUGAGUGACUCAGGGGAGGGGAGCGGAGAAAUGGAGCAGGCUUCGGGUGCCCAUGGCCUUGGGGAGGUGCUGGACCAGCCCUGGACCCCCGGCCUCAGGAAGCCUCUGACCUGAGGACAGCCACAUCCGUGGUGUGCAUAGACUGUUGCCGGGAUCAAGUUUCCUGUUACUCACAGGGACUCUGCCUUGACUGGCUUCCCAACUUCACCUGGAGAAGAAGUAAUUUUAUUUAUUUAUUUUAAAGACACAGUGCAAACA